CUGAACUAUGAGCUCGAGCUCGGCUCGCUGGCUCGUUUGGCUCGUUCGGCUCGCUGGCUUGUUUGGCUCGUUCGGCUCGUUAUAAAGGAAGAUUGCAUAGCAAAUGACUUCCGAUGACUUCCGAUGGACACUCCGGUUGUACCACUGGGACAACCAAAUUAAAAUUCGAAUCAAUGGACACUAGGUUCCUCUUCGCGGCAGUGAGCAAUUCUUUUUUAGAAAUAUUGUAAAGAUGUAAGAUCCAAAGAAGAGAAUAUUGUAUCUCAUAACAUUAUAGUUGUAUUUCCAUUAUAGCAUUCUCACAUCACAUAGAUCAAACAGAAGCAGUUCUAUCCAUUUGAUCAUCUUAACACAUCAACAAAUAGGAGAAAAUACUUAUAAUAAGACAAGAUGGUUUUAGUUUUAAUGGACAUUUGAAUCUACUUGUAAUCAGUAAAAUCUUCAACAAACCCACCUCUCUUCUUCCCCUUCAAAGUUUUCCUUCUGCUACCUGAGCCAUUUUCACGUCGAGAAUUCCCAUCAUUUGAAAUCAAUGGCAGAUCAUUAGCAUCAUCACUAUCAUCAUGCGUAGCAAUAUUGAUACAUGAACAUCUUUCUAAAGAUGCAAAGAAAGCAGUUGUAACACCAUUGAGGAGCCACAUAGCUACACCAUCAAGUUUACGGCAUCCAUUGAUAAUAGUAGAUGGUGCUUAUUAAAAACAAACUGAAGUUUUGCAAUUUCUUCGGGUUAUUAUUCACUUGUUUGUUGAAUCUUGAAUGAGAUCUGAAAAGAAGUUUCUUUGUUGAAUACUUGAAUGAGAUCUCAGAUCUGUUUGGAUGGAAGAGAAGAUGAAGAAUUGAAGAGAGAAGAGAGAAGAGAUAUAAGCCCAACUGCCCAAGCCCAUAGUUAACAAGAGAUAUAAGCCCAACUGCCCAAGCCCAUAGUUAACGAGCUGCUCGGCUCGGCUCGUUUAGAGCUCGAGCUCGGCUCGGGCUCGUGACGAGCUCAAAAAUCGGCUCGAACUCGGCUCGUUUAAAUAAAUGAGCGAGCCGAGCCGAGCUUUUAUCGAGCCGAGCCCGAGCCGCUCGGCUCAGAUUGCAGCCCUAUUCAGGAGAGCCUCCAAGUGGUGUGGUACGUUUUGGUAACGGUUCUGAAACAAGCAAAAAGUCACAAUCCCAAGUUUUGUUUUAAGAUGGCAGACAGGCCAAACCCUCUCAGUUUCUCGGAACAUAUCUUUUGUUAUGUAUAUUUGGGUAUGGCAUUCCCCCCUGUGAAGCCACUUUUCAAGAUGAAUCUUGGAUGGCUCUUAUUAUCAAUGCUCUUUGAGAUGAUUCUCGUGAUAUUCAUAAAUAUGUUGUAUAAAAAUUGGGGAUAUUUGUUAUUUCAUUUUGGAGGAUAUAUACUAAAAAUCUCUCCCCUCUUGAAAUAUGAAGGUAAUCAGCAGUUA
rnacentral:lncRNA from 1 species